rnacentral:rRNA from 1 species
GCAUAUCAAUAAGCGGAGGAGAAGAGACCCAACAGGGAUUCCCCAGUAACGGAGAGUGAAGCGGCAACAGCUCAAAUUUGAAAUCUGGCCCCCAGGGCCCGAGUUGUAAUUUGCAGAGGAUGCUUUUGGCGGGGCGCCUUCCGAGUUCCCUGGAACGGGACGCCAUAGAGGGUGAGAGCCCCGUCUGGUCGGACGCCAAGCCAGUGUAAAGCUCCUUCGAAGAGUCGAGUAGUUUGGGAAUGUUGCUCUAAAUGGGAGGUAUAUGUCUUCUAAAGCUAAAUAUAGGCCAGAGACCGAUAGCGCACAAGUAGAGUGAUCGAAAGAUGAAAAGCACUUUGAAAAGAGGGUUAAACAGUACGUGAAAUUGUUGAAAGGGAAGCAC